rnacentral:tRNA from 1 species
AAAGUAGAAGUUUCUAAAAUAUUUGACCUGCAAUCAAAAGAAGAUAAUUUUUUAUCCUACUUUA